rnacentral:rRNA from 1 species
ACGAACGCUGGCGGCGUGCUUAACACAUGCAAGUCGUACGGUAAGGCCCUUUCGGGGGUACACGAGUGGCGAACGGGUGAGUAACACGUGAGUAACCUGCCCACAACUUUGGGAUAACGCUAGGAAACUGGUGCUAAUACUGGAUAUGUGCUCCUGCUGCAUGGUGGGGGUUGGAAAGCUCCGGCGGUUGUGGAUGGACUCGCGGCCUAUCAGCUUGUUGGUGGGGUAGUGGCCUACCAAGGCGGCGACGGGUAGCCGGCCUGAGAGGGUGACCGGCCACAGUGGGACUGAGAUACGGCCCAGACUCCUACGGGAGGCAGCAGUGGGGAAUAUUGCACAAUGGGCGCAAGCCUGAUGCAGCAACGCCGCGUGCGGGAUGACGGCCUUCGGGUUGUAAACCGCUUUCAGCAGGGACGAAGCUUUUUGUGACGGUACCUGCAGAAGAAGCACCGGCUAACUACGUG